rnacentral:rRNA from 1 species
GCAUAUCAAUAAGCGGAGGAAAAGAAACCAACAGGGAUUGCCCUAGUAACGGCGAGUGAAGCGGCAACAGCUCAAAUUUGAAAUCUGGCGUCUUUGGCGUCCGAGUUGUAAUUUGCAGAGGGCGCUUUGGCAUUGGCAGCGGUCCAAGUUCCUUGGAACAGGACGUCACAGAGGGUGAGAAUCCCGUACGUGGUCGCUAGCCUUUACCGUGUAAAGCCCCUUCGACGAGUCGAGUUGUUUGGGAAUGCAGCUCUAAAUGGGAGGUAAAUUUCUUCUAAAGCUAAAUACUGGCCAGAGACCGAUAGCGCACAAGUAGAGUGAUCGAAAGAUGAAAAGCACUUUGGAAAGAGAGUUAAAAAGCACGUGAAAUUGUUGAAAGGGAAGCGCUUGCAGCCAGACUUGCCUGUAGUUGCUCAUCCAGGUUUCUACCUGGUGCACUCUUCUAUAGGCAGGCCAGCAUCAGUUUGGGCGGUUGGAUAAAGGUCUCUGUCAUGUACCUCUCUUCGGGGAGAACUUAUAGGGGAGACGACAUGCAACCAGCCUGGACUGAGGUCCGCGCAUCUGCUAGGAUG